UGCGUAGGCGGUCCGCUAAGUUAGAUGUGAAAACUCUGGGCUCAACCCAGAGCCUGCAUCUAAUACUGACGGGCUAGAGUUCUGGAGGGGGUAGCGGAAUUCCUGGUGUAGCGGUGAAAUGCGUAGAUAUCAGGAGGAACACCGGUGGCGAAGGCGGCUACCUGGACAGAGUCUGACGCUGAGGCACGAAAGCUGGGAGCAAACGG
rnacentral:rRNA from 1 species